UGUGUGUGUGUGUGUGUGUGUGUGUGUGUGUGUGUGUUGUCAUUGUGGAAAGACAUUUUAAGCUCCCCAAAGGAAAUCCUGAGCCCUCCUUCUGCACAUCUUCUACUUGGAAACCUUAAAACAAAACAGAGGCAACUAACACACCGAUUCAAAGCUCCAGCAUGUAGACAGAGUCCGUGUGUGUGUGUGUUAGAGGUGUGUAUUAAAGGUGUGUGUUAGAGGUGUGUAUAAAAGGUGCAGACCAGAGAGAAGGAAAAGCAGUGUGAAAGCGCAGUGAAAUCCCGAUGAUGUUUCUUCCAUGAUAUUGUUAUUAUUAUUAUUAUCUAGAUCUCGGUGCUGUGCCUGAGAGCCGAGAGUUCCGUAAAUACUCGGAGCUCACAACACGUUCGGUGAGAUGAAGAUCGUCAGAUCAGACAAAAAAAUCCAAGUGUGUGUGUGUGUGUGUGAGGCUCGGAAGCAAGGCAAGAAAAAAAGAGCUGAAAGCAAUGUGAACUUUCCAGAAAAUCUCACAUCUGCAGCAGGGAUGAAGCCGAGCACACAGGUGCACCGCAGCCGGAUUCGGAUUCAGAUUCAGAGCAUCAGCUGCGCCACCACUGCACGUUCAUCUGUAACGGAAGCCACCGCCCUGCCUUCAUCUGUCUCGUCACAUGACCUCGCCAACGUCUGACAGAACCGAUUGAACACAAUAUGCACAAUAAACACAAUGUUACCGAUCCUA